AGUCUUCCUAUUGCCAAUGUUAAACACAACACAGGUUCAAAAAGCCGAAGUCUGAGAAUUAAGAUCCCUCGAUACGAGAGAAAGGUUAUUAAGACGUACUUUUCUUAGCUCUCAUUUCUGAUCUUCUUCUCAAGUAGUUAGCAUAAUUAAUCUGUUUCCACCAUGGGUUGCUCGAAGCAUGCAGGAACUUCCAUGCCCGCCGCUACAAGAAUUCAACAUUUCAAUGAAGAAGUUUUAGUAACGAAAUACAAGUCUAAUCACAAAAAAUUCAUAAUAUUUAGUGAUGAAAAUAAGAAGUGGUCACAACAAACUAAUUUGGCCUACAUCUUUGAUGAUGAAACAAAAUGCCCGUCAUAAUAUCUAUAUUUUGUGACUAUUUUUUAUUUUAUUAUAAAAAAUUUAUCUUUCUGCCGAUUUUUAUUAGCACGUGCCGGUUAGCUCCGCGGCUUUUGCCGGCGUUGUUCACCUUGGUAUUAACCGGAGUGAAGGAGGUCGGUUUAAUCUGAGGUCCAGAUGUCCAAUAUAAGAUGUUCUUGUGCCUAACAAAAAUCUUUUAAUGCAUGCAUCAUAGAAAAUUGAUUUCAUUUUUGGGACAUAGAACUCGUUUGGUUCGCGAGAAAAAUUCUUUCUCAUCAGAAUAUUUUAUUUUGGAAAGCUGAUUCCUAAGAAUAUGAUGCCUAGAAUAAUCAUCCUCUA
rnacentral:lncRNA from 1 species